AAUCAACGCUGGCGGCGUGCCUCAGACAUGCAAGUCGAACGAUUAAGACUUCCUUCGGGAAGUGUAUAAAGUGGCGCACGGGUGAGUAACACGUAAGUAAUCUACCUUCGAGUGGGGAAUAACAUCGGGAAACCGAUGCUAAUACCGCAUAACGCAGCGGCAUCGCAAGAUGACAGUUGUUAAAAGGAGUUUAUUUCGCU
rnacentral:rRNA from 1 species